AUGCAGCCACAUCACGUUGAAAGACCGGUUCCCACACAAUCACCGAAGUUAAGCAAUGUUGAGCCUGGUUAGUAUCUAGAUGGGUGACAGCUUGGGAAUACCAGGCGCUGUAAG